rnacentral:rRNA from 1 species
UACGUAGGGUGCAAGCGUUAAUCGGAAUUACUGGGCGUAAAGCGUGCGCAGGCGGUUUUGUAAGUUCUGUCGUGAAAUCCCCGGGCUCAACCUGGGAAUCGGCAGUUGAGAACUGGACAGCUGGAGUGUGUCAGAGGGGGGUAGAAUUCCACGUGAGUAGCAGUGAAAUGCGUGAAUGAGAAUGUGGAGGAAUGAACCGGAUG